UAAAUAAAUCAUGAAUGAAGACACAUUUCUGACUUUGGGAAUUAAUCCAAGGACACCUUUAACCCCUGCCGCUCGUCAGUCACUGUCCACUAGGGUGCGCAGCUGCCUAACUCAGUUUCUAGCUGGCUUUCUUCCUGGGUGAAUUUAGGCUGACUCUUCAUUUCUCUAUGACUUCAACAUUUCUUCUUCUGAGGAAUCAACAUCACUCGGGCGGCAUUCUAAAGAUGAACUCUCAGGGCUUAGUGACUGUCAUGCUCUUAGUUCUUGGAAGGAUCCAUGGAGACUCUGUGACUCAGACGGAAGGUAAAGUGACCCUCUCAGAAGAAGACUUCCUGACUAUAAACUGCACUUACUCAGCCUCGGGGUACCCUACUCUGUUCUGGUACGUCCAGUAUCCCGGAGAAGGUCCACAGCUCCUCUUCAGAGCCUCAAAGGCCAAUGAGAAGGGAACCAAGAAAGGGUUUGAAGCCACAUAUGUCAAAGACGCCUCCUCCUUCCACCUGCACAAAGCCUCAGUCCAAGAGUCAGACUCGGCUGUGUACUACUGUGCUCUGAGUGACACAGUGGCAGAAACCUCAGGAAGACCUGAGCACAAACUCAGCAGCAGGCACCCGUCUGCUGAGCACCUGCCUCUGAGAUCUCCCUGA